rnacentral:rRNA from 1 species
UACGUAGGCAGCGAGCGUUGUUCGGAUUCACUGGGCGUAAAGGGUGCGUAGGCGGUUGGGUAAGUCUGAUGUGAAAUCUCACAGCUUAACUGUGAAACUGCAUUGGAUACUAUCCGGCUAGAGGAAUGGAGGGGAGACUGGAAUACUUGGUGUAGCAGUGAAAUGCGUAGAUAUCAAGUGGAACACCAGUGGCGAAGGCGAGUCUCUGGACAUUUCCUGACGCUGAGGCACGAAAGCCAGGGGAGCAAACGGG